rnacentral:rRNA from 1 species
GACGAACGCUGGCGGCGUGCUUAACACAUGCAAGUCGAACGGAAAGGCCCUGCUUGCAGGGUACUCGAGUGGCGAACGGGUGAGUAACACGUGGGUGAUCUGCCCUGCACUUCGGGAUAAGCUUGGGAAACUGGGUCUAAUACCGGAUAGGAACCAUCUUUAGUGUGGUGGUUGGAAAGUUUUUUCGGUGUAGGAUGAGCUUGCGGCCUAUCAGCUUGUUGGUGGGGUAAUGGCCUACCAAGGCGGCGACGGGUAGCCGGCCUGAGAGGGUGUACGGCCACAUUGGGACUGAGAUACGGCCCAGACUCCUACGGGAGGCAGCAGUGGGGAAUAUUGCACAAUGGGCGCAAGCCUGAUGCAGCGACGCCGCGUGGGGGAUGAAGGCCUUCGGGUUGUAAACUCCUUUCGCUAGGGACGAAGCUUUGUUGUGACGGUACCUAGAUAAGAAGCACCGGCUAACUACGUG